AUGUGCACGGGGCGAUCAUUGCACCGGAUCCAUCAGAACUCCGCAGUUAAACGUGCUUUGGGCGAGAGUAGUACUAGGAUGGGUGACCUCCUGGGAAGUCCUCGUGUUGCACCCC
rnacentral:rRNA from 1 species